rnacentral:tRNA from 1 species
GCCGAAGUGGCGGAAUUGGUAGACGCGACGGUCUCAAAAACCGUUGGGGGGCAACUCCCGUGCCGGUUCGAGUCCGGCCUUCGGUACCA